UACGUAGGGCGCAAGCGUUGUCCGGAAUUAUUGGGCGUAAAGAGCUCGUAGGCGGCCUGUCGCGUCUGCUGUGAAAUCCCGGGGCUUAACCCCGGGCGUGCAGUGGAUACGGGCUGGCUGGAGGCAGGCAGGGGGGAACGGAAUUCCCGGUGUAGCGGUGAAAUGCGCAGAUAUCGGGAGGAACACCGGUGGCGAAGGCGGUUCUCUGGGCCUGUUCUGACGCUGAGGAGCGAAAGCGUGGGGAGCGAACAGG
rnacentral:rRNA from 1 species